GAACAGUUAAAAUCACCUGUGCCAUCAGCAGCAAUCCAAACUAUAUUUACUGGCUCCAGCAGAAAUCUGGAGAAGCCCCUCGCUUUGUGCAUUGUGAUGGCUGCAGCAGGGGACCAGGGAUCCCAGACCGAUUCACGGGAACCCGGUCAGGCAACAACGGCUACUUAACCAUCACCAACCUUCAGGCUGAAGACGAGGCUGAUUAUUACUGUUACAUGUUGUAUAGCAGUGGUAGCGUGUUCCACAGAUCCUUUGCUCAGUAUGUCCUGACUCAGCCGUCAUCCGUGUCUGUCUCCCUGGGACAGAAUGAAAGGAUCACUUGUUCAGGAAGUGACAUUGGAGAAAAGAAUGUUCACUGGUACCAGCAGAAACCUGGGAAUCCUCCUAUUCUGAUUAUAUAUGAUGAUAGCAGCAGGCCUACAGGGAUCUCAGAUCGAUUCUCGGGCACCAACUCUGGCAACACGGCCACCCUAAGCAUCUCCAGGGCCCAGGCUCAGGAUGAGGCCGACUACUACUGCCAG